GAUGAACGCUAGCUACAGGCUUAACACAUGCAAGUCGAGGGGUAACGAGAGGAAAGCUUGCUUUCCUUGUCGACGACCGGCGCACGGGUGAGUAACGCGUAUCCAACCUGCCCCCAACUAGGGAAUAACCUUGCGAAAGUAAGACUAAUACCCUAUAAUUUCCUCAGAUGUCAUCUGACGAGGAAUAAAGAUUUAUCGGUUGUGGAUGGGGAUGCGUCUGAUUAGCUUGUUGGCGGGGUAACGGCCCACCAAGGCAACGAUCAGUAGGGGUUAUGAGAGGAAGGUCCCCCACAUUGGAACUGAGACACGGUCCAAACUCCUACGGGAAGAAGCAGUGAGGAAUAUUGGUCGAUGGGCGGAAGCCUGAACCAGCCAAGUAGCGUGCAGGAUGACGGCCCUAUGGGUUGUAAACUGCUUUUAUACAGGAAUAAAGUUAGCCACGUGUGGUUAUUUGUAGGUACUGUAUGAAUAAGGACCGGCUAAUUCCGUGCCAGCAGCCGCCGUAA
rnacentral:rRNA from 1 species